CUGCACCGCGGUCCCGGUCCAGAGCCUGCACGCCUCCGCCCUCCCGCCCCGGAACCUGCUGCGCCCGAGGGUCCCCAGCCCUGCGGGGCGGCGCAGCUCGGGGGCGCCCGCGGGAGCUCAGGUGCGGCUGGCGCCGCGGGGACCGGCCGCGCCGAGACCCGGGUCACCUCCGGGGCCCGCGCUCCGCGAGCGCCUCCACGCCGGCUCGGAAGGCUAGCCCCAGAGGAGAUUACAGCGCGUUCCCUAUGGGACCUUCCGAAGCCCAUUAGCCCUGAUGGCCGGCACGACGUCUGGUCAGAGGCCCUAACUGCCCUGGGAAGGACAGCCGCAGACCCCCUCCACGAAGGACAAAGGGCAGGAAAGGCUCCUGUGCCCUGAAGACACCAGGAUGCCUCAUAGAAGAUAAGAAUUUUUCCAGAGGACAGGCCCCAGCUUUGAUGAAAACAGCCCCAGUCACAAGCUGAUGCCCAGCAGGAGAACGUUUUUCCCUUAAGGCUACCCUUUUCUUUGUUCUUGAGAUGCUUACGUCAUGGUUAGCAGAAAUGUACCAUCAAUUUUAUCUCACAUCUAUUAAAUAAAACAUCU